GCUCCCGCCUCGAUUCGUUUUGCAUGAGACGGUAAGUGAGAACCAAAAAUAUAGAAAAAUAUAAUCCGUCUGGAAUCAGUUCUCGAUCCGCAAAGUAAAUGAAGCGGAAGGCGUGAGACCUCUUUCUUCUUUUAAUCUGUUCCGAUCUACCAAAAAUCAACCAAAAACUCGCUUCCGUCUCAAUCCGCUCAGAAUGGAGCAAUAAUUGGUAGCCAAAAAUAGGAUUAAAAUUAAUCUGUGCUGAAUCCAUCCCGACUCGAUAAGAAAUAGAGCAGAAGGUGCGAGACCCUCCCGCCCCGGAUUGCCCCCUCUCGUCCCGCGUCCGCCCCGGAUCCGUCUCGUUUGCAUACCUACGCACUAUCUCCUUAGUUUCCCAUUUCGUUUGCUUUUUCACAUUUA
rnacentral:lncRNA from 1 species